GACGAACGCUGGCGGCGUGCUUAACACAUGCAAGUCGAACGGAAAGACCCUGCGUUUGUGGGGUUCUCGGGUGCCGAUCGCGUAAGUAACACGUGAAUAACCUACCCUUGACUUUCGGAGAACUUCAGGAAACGAGAGCUAAGAUCGGAUAGUAGCUCCCGCUCCAUGGUGGGGGGGGGAAAGUCUCGGCGGUUGGGGAUGGACUCGCGGCUUAUCAGCUUGUUGGUGGGGUAGUGGCUUACCAAGGCUUUGACGGGUAGCCGGCCUGAGAGAGUGACCGGCAACAUUAGGCCUACGGUACGCACCAGACUAAUACGGAGGGCAGCGGUGGGGAGUAUUAAACAACGGGCGGACGCCAGAUCAAGAAACGUCGCGUGCGGGAUGACGGUUUUCGGGUUAUGAACCGCUUCCGCCUGUGACCAAGCGUGAGUGACGGUAAUCGGUAAAGAAGCACCGGCUAACUACGUG
rnacentral:rRNA from 1 species